rnacentral:lncRNA from 1 species
CCUGCGCGCUCCAAAAAGACCUCCUUAAUGUAGUUGCUUGCACUCUGCGCCGUAAGAAUGUCUGGGUUGUCCAUCCAUCUUCAUCCGUCAGCCUGGCGAUCGGCAGACGGUCCAACAGGCCGAAGGUGUGAUAGGGUCGCACCGGACUAGGUGUCAGCAGUAUAC